ensembl:lncRNA
GGGACGGCAGGUAGCCUAGUGGUUAGAGUGUAGGGACGGCAGGUAGCCUAGUGGUUAGAGUGUAGGGACGGCAGGUAGCCUAGUGGUUAGAGUGUAGGGACGGCAGGUAGCCUAGUGGUUAGAGUGUAGGGACGGCAGGUAGCCUAGUGGUUAGAGUGUAGGGACGGCAGGUAGCCUAGUGGUUAGAGUGUAGGGACGGCAGGUAGCCGAGUGGUUAGAGUGUAGGGACGGCAGGUAGCCUAGUGGUUAGAGUGUAGGGACGGCAGGUAGCCUAGUGGUUAGAGUGUAGGGACGGCAGGUAGCCUAGUGGUUAGAGUGUAGGGACGGCAGGUAGCCUAGUGGUUAGAGUGUAGGGACGGCAGGGUAGCCUAGUGGUUAGAGUGUAGG